GACGCUGGCGGCAUGCCUAACACAUGCAAGUCGAACGAGACCUUCGGGUCUAGUGGCGCACGGGUGCGUAACGCGUGGGAAUCUGCCCUUGGGUUCGGAAUAACAGUGAGAAAUUACUGCUAAUACCGGAUGAUGUCUUCGGACCAAAGAUUUAUCGCCCAGGGAUGAGCCCGCGUAGGAUUAGCUAGUUGGUGGGGUAAUGGCCUACCAAGGCGACGAUCCUUAGCUGGUCUGAGAGGAUGAUCAGCCACACUGGGACUGAGACACGGCCCAGACUCCUACGGGAGGCAGCAGUGGGGAAUAUUGGACAAUGGGCGAAAGCCUGAUCCAGCAAUGCCGCGUGAGUGAUGAAGGCCUUAGGGUUGUAAAGCUCUUUUACCCGGGAUGAUAAUGACAGUACCGGGAGAAUAAGCUCCGGCUAACUCCGUGCCAGCAGCCGCGGUAAUACGGAGGGAGCUAGCGUUGUUCGGAAUUACUGGGCGUAAAGCGCGCGUAGGCGGCUGCUCAAGUCAGAGGUGAAAGCCCGGGGCUCAACCCCGGAACUGCCUUUGAAACUAGGUAGCUAGAAUCUUGGAGAGGUCAGUGGAAUUCCGAGUGUAGAGGUGAAAUUCGUAGAUAUUCGGAAGAACACCAGUGGCGAAGGCGACUGACUGGACAAGUAUUGACGCUGAGGUGCGAAAGCGUGGGGGAGCAAACAGGAUUAGAUACCCUGGUAGUCCACGCCGUAAACGAUGAUAACUAGCUGUCCGGGCACUUGGUGCUUGGGUGGCGCAGCUAACGCAUUAAGUUAUCCGCCUGGGGAGUACGGUCGCAAGAUUAAAACUCAAAGGAAUUGACGGGGGCCUGCACAAGCGGUGGAGCAUGUGGUUUAAUUCGAGCACGCGCAGANCUUACCAGCGUUUGACAUCCUCAUCGCGAUAGAGAGAUCUUUC
rnacentral:rRNA from 1 species